GGAAAAAAGAUGAUAUGGUUGUUUAUAAUGUUCAAAUAAAUAUCUAAACAACAAAAUGUGGGUGAAUCCUACAGUCUCAAAGCCUCAUAAAGCUUAAUUCGAGCUUUAAUUUAUUCAUUCUCAGAAGGCACAGUUACAAAAUAUGGAGCCUACAAAUCAAUUGUCUUUCCUGAAAAGCUAAUGCUGAAAAACCUAAUCCAUAAUCAGGCAUUAAGGGCAUCAAGUUGCUUCCUGAGUUCUUCAAGGUCAUCAAUAGUAGCUGUAGUUGUAUCAGCAUCUGGGAGCUUCUGAAACUCGUCUGCACUUGGAAGCUCAUGUGUAAGACCUUCGGGGAGCGCAUCUGCAGGACCUGACGAACAAGAGAGGAGGAAAAAAGAUUAAAUAAGAGUGCACAACCAGGUAACUUAGUAUAUGAAAUAUGAAGGAAACUUGAGAUUCAGAUGCGAAGCGAACAUGGAGAGAUGGUAGUUAGGACCAUAUUGAAUUUUAUACCUGGCUACAGUAAUUAAAUGUAAGAGUUUGUUUAGAAAAAUUUUAAGUUUAGGACAGGACAGAGGAAUAUACAAGUUACUGAUUUCAUCAUUCAUUGAGCCAGUUCAUUCAGCAGACAAGUUUAAUUUAAAUCAGGAAAUAUAUUCCCAUUCAUUAUACAAGUUUAAAUUUAAUCAUAUAUUGCGGAAAUAAAGCCUGCCACUGUGGAACAGUAAAGCAUCCAUAAUCAUAAAUAUUGAAGACGAACUUUAAAAAUCACCUGAACCUGUGGCAUAUGUAUUUUCCAGCUCACUAUCAUCAACAACACUUAUGUUCCACUCAUUAUCAGCAUGAAGUGGGAUCUCUGUAGCUAACAAUGCUUCUGCCUCCAUUUUGGUUUUAGCUGCAGCAUCCCUAGCUGGCUUUGCAAGGAUAUACUCUUUCUAUAGAUUAAUCACAGUUAACACUAUCAGAAAAGGGGGGAAAAAAAAACACACCAAAUUAUAAGAUUUCAAGAAAGCAACUGCUUCUGAAUCGAAGCGCAUCUGAAUUUGAUACCUGACGCUCCAGACAAACUGCAUGUGAACAUUGAGGAUUUGGCCUCAUUUCCAUGGUUGGAAAAUAAUCCUUAAGAGAAUUGCAUCCCUGCUGCCAAUCAGUAAAGCCAGAAACAGGUAUGGAGAUACAUGUCCAAAUUGAGCAAGAGCUUCAGUGUAUUUUGUACUAAAAGCCCAGCAACAACACCCAUUGUGGUAGGCAAAGAUGCUGCACAAAUCCCCUACGCUUGAGGGUCCGCUCAUCCACACCAGAUGCUACAACCAGAGGAGGUGCACAUGCGAAACAAGCAUUUUCUCCAGGAAUCAACAGCUGUCUAUGACCAGAAACAGCAUCUUCAGAUACACCCGUCACAAAAUAUAUUCACUUAAAUGCUAAGAAGAUGAAACCCAGAUACAUAAGAAUUCAAACUCUACAUGAAAUCCCCUGAAGAUCCAAAACAAAUCAUGCAAGCAUAAUUGGGUCUUGUAAAUCUAGGUACCACUCAUAAAUCUGCCACAUUUAUGCAUUCAGAUUUGAUAGCUAUAUAUUCUACUGAGCAUAUCAUCAUCAAAUACAGUUGCCAACGGCACUGGGGAAGAGUACGCUCAUUUAUAGGGUGGACCAUGCUAUAAUUCAAUUCGUUCUCUCUCCUCUUUCAGAUAGGGAAGCAUAGAUCUAAAACCUUUCUAGAUUACAUGUUUGCGAACAUUAUAAAAUGGGAUAUCGCAUGUUCACAAUUUGUAUCCCAGUAAAGGAAAGAAAAAAAACAGCGAGAACAAUGUUGUUACCAGACUCCAUCCAUGUUUGAUUCAACUCAUUACAAGCCUGCAUAUCCACAACAAAAGCAUUCAAGAGCUCUAGAAUAUUCAAAAAAAGAAUUCCAAUCUCCUAAAAAAUUUACAUCAAUCUUAAAUUUUAAAUCAUAGACAAUAAUCAGAUUAUGCAAUAGAAAGGUAAAAAUGAUAAAUAUCAGAAUGAAAACAACUACAUCAGGAAAAGUCAAAAAGAUAAUCAGGGCUAGCAUCACUCAUCAAAACAAUUGAAAAGGGAAUGAUUGCCACUUAAAUGGUCUUCUUUACCUGGUUAACAGCCAUCCUUGCUUCAUAAUUAUCCACACAACUUAAGACAAGAUCUACUCCACUAACUUCUUCAGUUGGAUGGAAAGAUUUAUUUUUCAAACUUGAAAUGAAGGUUUCAAACCCAUGCACUGUUGUGAUGUUCAGUGUAUAGCUCUGAGAAGACCGCAAUUAGCAUGAAGAAGUACCAAGAAUAUAGUCAGCCGAAUCAAUUUUCUGUUCAAUUCUUUGAUAAGUUUGUGAUGCCCUAACUAACCCACAUAUAUGAUAGAGGUGGCCAAAAUUCUAGCUGUUAGUGGACAAUAAGUAAAAUAGAACCAAACUAUAAAAAAGCAAUCUUCUUCUUCAAUGAUUAUUAGAAAGAGAUUUACCCUAAGCAAACAAAAGGCAUACAGAACUCUUAUCAACCCUCAUCCCCAAAGAAAAGGGGGUGGGUGCACAAGUUUCAGUACCAUGUGCAAAUUGGCUUGAAAGAAUUCACGUCUUGACAAAUUGUAGUAAGUAAUAAGUUUAUAAUUGCCAACAAGUCCCAUAAACACAAACUCCAUUAACACUUACCUCAAGCACAACAUCAGGAUUUAUGUCUGAAAGGGUGUGAACAGCAGCAUCAGUCUUUUUCAUGCCAACCUAUGAAUAAAAAAAGUUGGAAGUAAACAAGGAACAUACCAGAUUUGCAUAUCAUGCAAAUACAGAAAACUGUUGCCUUCUUGAAAUAUGUCAAAAUCAAAUCAGCACAGCAGCAAAGAAAAAGAGCUUCCUGGCUUAAAUCAAAAGAAUUCCAAGUUUAGAUGCAUACUGUAUGAGGAAUGUUGAUAUUAUAAAUCAUUAGGGGGAAAAAACCUGUUCUGGACGAAAGAAAAGUCUUUUCAUGUUGGCCAACUCCACUUUGUCAUAAUCAUACAACAAAAGACGACCUAUUCCACAUCUUGUUAGCAUUUCAGCUGCAACACUGCCAACACCACCAAUUCCCUGUGAUCAAAUGAAAUAACUUAAUAAAAAGGAAAGUAAGGAUCUGUUAAGAUAAUGAUAAUUGAUUGGGAACUCCUGCAUGUAAAUAUUUGCUAGGAUUAAUGUGUAAAGAAAUCAUAAUCAUGGAAACCCAAGAUUCAUGUUACUUCAUGCUCAUGGGAUGGCUGAACCAUGUUAUAUAGCCUCAGGAAACCACCGUCAACAAAUUUGAUUCACUUAAGAUUAUAAUUAAUAAAAAAAAAUUCCAUAUCUGUGCUGCAGCCAUAAGAGCUAUGAAUUUUUCUAGCAAUGCAAAUUUACCUUUUGCCAAACACUGACCAUACAUCAUCUGAGUCAUGUAUAUUGCUUAAAAAAUGCAAUGAUAAAUUAUUAAAACAAUAGACUUAGAAAAGGACUUUUUAUUUGUGCUAAUCCUUCAAUAUGCGCAUUUUAGAUCCUUGGAUGGAAAACUUCAAAACAAUGUUUUAUUGACAGUGAAAUCUAAAAUAAUAAACAAGCCCACUUCUUUGAGAUGCCACCUCAAAAAGGGGAGGAAAAACCACCAUACAUGAAUAAGUAAAAUAAUUAUCAUUUGCAACAACAAGCUAUGCCAAACACAAUAUGGAGCUGUGAUUUCUAGAACUUACACCGAAGGAGUCUAAAUGUUCUAUUUGUGUGGACAACCAUAACAGACAUGUGGAUUGUAGUCAAAUGACUAAGACUUAAAACUUCUAGGCAUAUGUCAAAUCAAAACUUAUUAUAGAAGUAGAUAAAACCCCAAGCAACAUUUUGUCAAAAAUUGUGAUCAACCUCACACUUCAGUUUUUUUUUUUUUUUAAGGUAAUUAACUAUAAAUUAAAAUGCCAUGCCUCUAAAAAUUGGAAGAGUGUAGUUUGCAACAAGCCAAGAUGCAGUUCUUCCUACAAAAUCCUUAAAUUAGUUUUUCCAAAUACCAAGUUUUAGGCUAUUCAUUCCUCCAAAAUGGCCAUAAAUUUGCAAAUACAUUAAAAUAAGCACCAAAAGAAGAAAAGAGGGGAUAAAUACAGACAACAAUGGCAACAGAGAACUCCCGAAUUCUCUCAUAGUUCUGCACAAUACCCAUCCUUUGAAGCGCCAUGAGCCUACUAUAAGGAUUGCUAUCCACAACCUCGGCACUCAUAUCCUUGACUUUUGAACGCCGAACAGGUUCAGACUUUGCCAACGUUGUGAGAUGUUCAAUACGCGACUGCAGCUUAUCGAUUGGAGCGUGAUGAGAUGGAUCAAGCAAUGAAUGCUUAAGAGAAUCGAGAUCAUUUAGCACCUGUUUCAAUUCAGCCUCCAUUACUAGCUGCUUCUUCUGAGCUAAGCUAAAUUCUUCUUCUUCUUCUUCUGCUACAUCACGGCGAUCGCAUCUAUGCAUCCCCUCAAUUAGCCAACUAGGAAGCUG
rnacentral:misc_RNA from 1 species